GGGUUUUAUCUUGAACCACAAUCUGACACCAAGAUAUGAUUUUCAUAGUUACAUGAUACGCUCGAUGGAAGAAGAGUUUAAAAGGAUUGUUGGUGUAAGUGCACAAUUGUGGGGUUUUGUCGUUGCCUUUAUGCUGUUCAACAUCAAUGGAUCUAAUCUUUAUUUCUGGAUAGCUAUUAUGCCUGUUACGCUUGUCCUCUCGGUGGGUGCAAAGUUGCAGCAUGUUAUUGCAACUCUAGCACUGG